CUCAAAGAUUAAGCCAUGCAGGUCAAGUACACACGGCCGGUACGUGAACUGCGAAUGGCUCAUUAAUCAGUUAUGGUCCCUUUGAUCGCUCCACCCGGUACUUGGAUAACUGUGGCAAUUCCAGAGCUAAUACAUGCAAACGGGCGCCGACCUGCGCCCCCCCCGGGGGGUGCGGGGACGCGUGCAUUUAUCAGAUCCAAAACCCAUCCGGGGUGUCGGGGCUCCGGCCUCGCCCCCGGUCCCUUUGGUGACUCUAGAUAACCUC
rnacentral:rRNA from 1 species